rnacentral:rRNA from 1 species
UACGUAGGUGGCAAGCGUUAUCCGGAAUUAUUGGGCGUAAAGCGCGCGUAGGCGGUUUUUUAAGUCUGAUGUGAGAGCCCACGGCUCAACCGUGGAGGGUCAUUGGAAACUGGAAAACUUGAGUGCAGAAGAGGAAAGUGGAAUUCCAUGUGUAGCGGUGAAAUGCGCAGAGAUAUGGAGGAACACCAGUGGCGAAGGCGACUUUCUNGGUCUGUAACUGACGCUGAUGUGCGAAAGCGUGGGGAUCAAACAGGAUUAGAU